ACUCCUACGGGAGGCAGCAGUGGGGAAUAUUGCACAAUGGGGGAAACCCUGAUGCAGCGACGCCGCGUGCGGGAUGAAGGCCUUCGGGUUGUAAACCGCUUUCAGCAGGGGCGAAUCAAGACGGUACCUGCAGAAGAAGCGCCGGCUAACUACGUGCCAGCAGCCGCGGUAAUACGUAGGGCGCAAGCGUUGUCCGGAAUUAUUGGGCGUAAAGAGCUCGUAGGCGGCCUGUUGCGUCCGCUGUGAAAUCCCAGGGCUUAACCCUGGGCCUGCAGUGGAUACGGGCAGGCUGGAGGCAGGCAGGGGAGAACGGAAUUCCCGGUGUAGCGGUGAAAUGCGCAGAUAUCGGGAGGAACACCGGUGGCGAAGGCGGUUCUCUGGGCCUGUACUGACGCUGAGGAGCGAAAGCGUGGGGAGCGAACAGGAUUAGAUACCCUGGUAGUCCACGCCGUAAACGUUGGGCGCUAGGUGUGGGUCCCUUCCACGGGGUCUGUGCCGCAGCUAACGCAUUAAGCGCCCCGCCUGGGGAGUACGGCCGCAAGGCUAAAACUCAAAGAAAUUGACGGGGGCCCGCACAAGCGGCGGAGCAUGUUGCUUAAUUCGACGCAACGCGAAGAACCUUACCAAGGUUUGACAUGGCCGGAAAACUCAUGGAGACAUGGGGUCCUUCGGGGCCGGUCACAGGUGGUGCAUGGCUGUCGUCAGCUCGUGUCGUGAGAUGUUGGGUUAAGUCCCGCAACGAGCGCAACCCUCGUCCAAUGUUGCCAGCGGGUAAUGCCGGGGACUCAUUGGAGACUGCCGGGGUCAACUCGGA
rnacentral:rRNA from 1 species